UGGUGGUAGUAGCAAAUAUUCAAAUUAGAACUUUGAAGGCUGAAGUGGAGAAGGGUUCCAUGUGAGCAACAACUGGACAUGGGUUAGUGGAUCCUAAGAGAGAGUUAUGUUCUGCAUACGCUUGCGCUUGCUUCGAUCGAAAGGGAAUGGGCUUAACCUCC
rnacentral:rRNA from 1 species